rnacentral:lncRNA from 1 species
GAAUGAAAUCUGCUUUUACUGCAAAGUGCUAAAUGACUGCUCAGCUAUGAGAACUGUUUAAUUCUUUCCCUCUUUACCGAUAGGAGUCUGCUUCCACCUGCUGGCUGGAGAAUUUCACAAUCAUCAGUAUUACACAGGUUAUCAUUUCAAACCAAACAUCAAACAUCAGCAACAACGUUCGCAUACCAUCUGCAGUUCAAUGAUGGCCCAGAAUCAACAUUUGAGUAAGACAACAGAGGCACAACCUUCAGAGAAAAAGAAAACUAGAUGGUGUGAUGGAUUCAAG